AAUUAAAUGGGUGCAGAGAAGCUGAUAGUGGUGAUGGUGGGUCUGAUGGUGUUGGCCGGCACGGCCCAUGGGCAAGUGCCAUUCGAAGAUGCCAUCGUGAACGGCACACUUUGUUGCACAUCGACGGGUGGGUGCACCCCCGGGGCCCCGCCCCUUGUGGGAGUGAACGUGAGCCUAAGUUGCCGGACAAUCUUGGGCACU
rnacentral:lncRNA from 1 species